AAAUUUUGGAUUAAAGCUUAAAGACAAGAAAAUGGUGAAAACAGCAAUCCUUAAUUUGAGAAGAUAAUACAAGAACAAAAAGGGCAGUGUAGUCAGGCAUUGUUUUGUUAAUAUACUAUAUCAUUCUUCUUUGACAUGAGGGUGACAAUAUGCACAUUGAGCAACAUUUUGCAGCAACACCAGCUUGGAUCUCCUGAUGCCACUUUUGGUAACAAACUUGCUUGCUUAUUUUCGUUUUAUAGAAACAUUUAUUAUCUGUCUAGGCAGAAGGUGCUCCAUCAAACUUUUUAGAUGAUUUUCAUGUACAAUACAAGAUUAUUAGAUGUUCUUUAUGUAGGCUAGGGAAGGUGAUGAUAGACUUCAAAAAAUAUUCUCUUUUAUGCAACACUGUAUUUGUAAGAGCAUAGAACAUGUCUUUGAAACAUAGGUCUCUACCCUACUCACAUGCUUUCCUGAUAGAUUAGGUGUUACAAUCCUUCUCAUUUCCUUCAAAGUGAGGAGCUUUUCCUUAGUAGAGAUAGCCUGUCUUUCGUUGUUUGGAGCCACCAAGCUCCAACACCACAAACAUACAUUGAGAUCGAGUUGAACUUCAUUAAGGCUUAUAUUUUCCUUAUUUUCUAUAUAUAAUUGCUUUAUGAUAUUACUAGAUGAUACCAAUCAGCGCGUCUGUUACCAUAUUUGUCUUGUAUCUGGGAACUAUAUAUGGUAUUUUAUUUAUAUCAGUGAACUAAGCCAAUCAUGGCCUUUAGAACCUUUGUCUAGUCAUCCUUUGAUAGUGUUCAGUGGUUCAAUCAAACUUGGACAUGUUAUGUCCUUAUGCUAUAUUUGAGUCUUGGUUUUAUGAUCUUGUUUGUCUAGAGGAUUCGCAUUCUAUACUGAUGCUCAAAUGAUAAAUUUUUAGAACCAAGAGACCUGAUUCUUCAUUGUUGAUAACUUUUUCGACUUUUUUGACUGUUA
rnacentral:lncRNA from 1 species